AUGUCGCCCAAAGCUCUGUGUUUACUUCUCACAGCUGCAGCUGUUCUAACUGGAGUUUGUCGUGCAGAUUCUGUGUCACAAUCACCGGCCGCAGUCACAGUGAACGAGGCGGAUGAUGUCCUGUUAUUCUGUAAUUACACAGCUACAUCAAAUAGCAAUCCUUAUCUGUUCUGGUACCGUCAGCAUUCCAACGGCUCCAUGGAGUAUCUGCUAAACAGAAACCAAUAUAUCACGAACACAGAGAAUCAUCCAGAAGACCGGUUUUCCUCGGAGUUUGAUCAUGUGAAACGCACUAUCCAGCUGAAAGUGUUGACAGCAGAACUGACAGACUUCGCGAUGUAUUUCUGCGCACUGAGCCCCACAGAGAUUCAGAACUGGGUUGUGUCCUUACAAAAACUCUCAGAGAGCAACUAA